AUUGCUAUUAGCAUGAUAAAGUAUCCAAUGACCAUGAUUACUCGAGCAGUUUGUGCUUGUUUUAUCAUUACGGUUCUCUCUGUAUUCGAUUUGAAUGUCAUCCAAUCUUCCGCCAUUACAUUUAUAAUCGACAGAAGAACUAUAAUGCAAUACGUAAAUUAUUUACUACCAGUACCAAGUUGCCCCACACUUGUAUAACCAUAUGAAUGCGUUUAAAGUUUCCUGAAAGCUUCUUCAGCUUGGAUGUCUCUGGAAGACCCAGUUCUUCAGAAUAAGCCACUUCUCUAAAUGUUUUCGCCGUAUGUCUUCAUUCAGCUGCUAUAAGAUUUUCCAAUAGAACAUUCAUUAUUUGACCAGAAGGAUUGGUUUGACAUCAUAAACAGAAAUCAAAUACACACAGGUACUCUUAAACAUACUCACCGAAAAGAACUGUCAAACAAUAUUUGUGACAGAAGCACUGUGAUUAAUAUGUACAAUUCCAAGGAGAUUUCUUUGAAAAUAGAAAGGUACAUAAAAUGCAUAAAAUCGAAGCUUAGUAUUUUUAUUUAUGGACAAAUUAAUUUAAGAAAUAAUGAUCGACAAAGUUUUUUUUAUUUACGUAUUAUAUAAAGUUAUGCUAUAUUUAAUCAUCGUUUUCAUUGCAAUUUUGGUCGCAAUCGAAACAAAAAUUUAUAUGUUUUUAAGUUGUAAUAACUAUCAAAUGUUUAAAGCAAAGAUUAUUCACACCAAGCACAUUUAACAAAAGAAACAUUUUUAUAAAAGCGCUGCUUGUUCGUCAUUGACGAAGAGAAGCAGAUUUCAUUAACAUUUAGAAAUAUAUAUCCCUUAAUUCAAUUAAUCUUAUUGCAUUUCAAAUCAUUAUAUAUACAUAAAAUUUUUUGAAAUUUUCAUAAUUACGAUGAAAAAAGAUGAGGUUUAGUAGAUCUAGCGAUGUGUCGCCUAAUUAAAUAUCUCGUUAUACACUAUACAGAUUUCCACAUACGUAGAUUUUAAAUAAUCUCUAAAUGAAUUUCUAUAAAUUCUCAUGGAUUCUCACAGAAAUCUACCUAGAAACUUUUAAUAAAAAAAAAUAAAAAUAAUUCUCAAAAACAAAAAUAACCAAUAUUUUACUAUAUUUCUACACUUAAAAAAUAAAAUAAUUAUGCAGUGCUUCUUCAACCACCGUACUUGACGUUUCUUAUUAUAACCGUUUCUGCGACGUCUUAUUUAAAUAAGUUAAAUUCUGAGCGCUUUUUGGUGCAUUGAUUUUUCUUUUAUUGGUGCAUCAACUAUUAAAUUUUGACUAUGUCUGUUUUUGAGUGCAAGCAUUGUACACCAUUUUCGGGCCGAACAACUUACAAUUUAUGUCGCUUCUCUACGAGAAUACCCUCAACCUCACUACAGACGAAAAUUAUUUUUAUUUCUACGCAUUUUUAUCUCUAUUACAACCAAAUUAAGUAAAAAUAAAAUAUUAAUUUUCAAUCAUUCACAAAAAACAUAUCUUUAUAUAGAAUAUUUAUAAACAAAAACAUUUUAUAAACUAUGACAUUAGAUCUUAAUUAUAUGCUUAAUAUACAAGGUUCGAAGCAAAAAUAAAUAACAAAGAAACUAAACGUUAGUUUCCGUUCAAAUUAGUUUUAAAAUAAUUAUUAAUCACAAAAACUUUCUUAGAGUUUGUUCUUUUCUUAAACACGCAAUUAUCUUUAAACUGAUUUUUAAUUCUUUAUUCUUUGGAAAGUUCUAGGUAUUUGAGCGCAACUUUCGUUUCUUAAAAGUUAGCAGCAUUCUAAAAUAUCAUUCUCAAAUUUAACUCCCACACAUAAUAAACAAUAAUAAAACAAAAAUAACAAUUAUUACAACAAUGAUCAUAUGAAUGGGUUUUGUCUAGAGAGAAGUCUUUUCUAAAAAGAUAUAUAUUUACUUCAAAAGAAACUUGAUUUGACAUUUAUUAAUUUCUAUAGUUAGGAAGUUAAAUAAUAUUAUAUUAUAAUAAACAUUAUUUUAUUAUAAUAUGC